CUCCCCCUCUCUCGCUCACACUCCAACGACGGACUUACCCCAACUUUCAAACUCGUGUCAUCCCAUCCCUUCCUCCCCUGUGCUUCCCGUCAGCUCAAACCCCUCAGCUCCGCAGCAUACUGAAACCUCCGCGCAGCGACUGGAAGCAGAUGUGCAAAGUGAAGGAACAGUACAUGCGUGGCAUUUCAGAAAACGAUUUACAGAUUUGUUCCACAUUCUUCUAGAGAUUUCACUCAAAUGCUCACUGGUGACACGUCUUGGGAUAUUAGCACAGCACCAGAGGUGAAGGGAGACUCACAGUAAUUCAGGCUGGGCAUAACUUCAUGCUGCUUACAACAAUGAUGGAUUGUCUGCAGUGUAACCACCUGACCUCAGCUAAAUCUAGCAAUUAACUGCAUACCUGUUUCCACAUCUCCCAGCUAAAUGGUUACUAUUAGUUACAGCCUGUCGGGUAAUAACAAUAAUUAACACUCACGCUUAAACAGCUCCUUUCCUUUACUAAGCCCCAAACUCCUCACAAAGGCCACUUUUGGGGGAAACUGAGUCAAAGUAUGAUCAGCAGAGUAGUAAUGAUUGGAGGUGGAGCUACCUUGUUAUCAGCCCAAUCCUUUAUUUUCUGUUCAACAGAUUGAGCAGGUGGAUCUAUCCCAGAGGAUCAACUAAGAAGUGUCACCUUCUCAGCACAAGUCUCUUAAGGAGGCUUUAAUCUGAAGGAAUGAAUUUCAGGGAUGAGUAGGUGAGACAGAAAAAGAACUUGGAAGAAGGAAAUUAGUAAGAGGUCAGAGGAAAUUUCUCUUGGGAUUGUUAUAGAGGUUUGCAUGUCAAUGAGUGGCUAAGGCUAAGGAGAGAAACAAUAUAGUUGUCUCAUUUAGGCAGAUGAUUAUCUCUGCAUUGUGAUGAGUGGCCAUCGAGUGAUAGGGAUGUGCCCUGAGCACAUCUUAUGCAGUGUGCACACACUACACCUGCAGAGCUCUUCAGCAAAUGCACAACAAUCAGUCAUGGAGAGAAAACACUGGAUCCAUCCAAGGACCACAGACACAUUUUCCAGCUUAGACCUUGUUGUGGGUGGACACAGGAGACACAUACAGUAUGAGCCUUCCCCUGAGCCCUGUUUUCGGGAAUUACCAGUUUAGGAGAUUCUAACAACAGCAGAAACUGCACCUGAUCCCUUACUUUUAAUAAGUAAUAAUGUAGUAGGACUUUUAAUGGACCUGUCUUCCCAAAAUUUGUCUAAUCUGUAUUUAUACUCUUGGUGUCUGAGGCAAGCUGUGAUAGUCAAGCUUACAAUCUGAUUAUGUGUACUUUUGAAUACUCGUGGUCUGCUCUUAUCUGAGAGAGACAUUUUAAAUCGCUGUAAUCUAAUCUUGCUGCCAGCCAUCUUUUGCCACAGAUGAUGUGAUGAUUGAGCCGUCAGAGAUAAGAAAGCGGAGUCUUUGGCACAAAAGAAUAAUCUGCUGUCCUUUGAUGUAAGGGAUAGCUUUCUCGGUUGGGAGCAGGCACCGAGUUCCUGUACUCAGACAAAAAGAAGCUGCUGUGAUGUGACUGAGCUCCAUGGCUGUGCCCAGAGAAGGGAAAGACUGCUUUCAUUGGUACCCAGACCUGAGGCACCACCUGAUCUGAUAUUUCAGUACCCCAUGUGCAGCUCCAGCAUCUGGUGAGAAGGUGUUUUCCAUGAGAGCUGCUACACUACCUGGUCAGGAGACUGUUCUGUUCCACGUGUCCAGUAUUGCCUGGGGAGAGGGGAUAUGAACAAGCCAUAGGAACCAUGGAAGAAGAGGCAGGUAUAAAACAUGAUACCAUGAGAGCAAGUUAAAAUUGCAGGUUUUAGCUGGCCUCUUCAGCCUCUGCCUUUGCCAGGAUGAGCAGUGGCUGGGGGUUUUCAACUGCACCAGGAGGAACUAUCUCAAAGCCAUAGAUCUGCACAUGCACAAGAGUGUUGGGGAGUUUCUUGCUUCUGGGUUCAGGAAGAAUAAGCUGGAAUCUAGGGAGGGGAGCAGAUGCCAUUUCUAGGUAUAUGUUGCAGUGGAGCAAGCAUCUUCCUCAGGAUUUAUAUCCCAGCCCUGAGAAGAGAAGCAGGAGCAGCUUGAAACGUGGAUGAGUACACAAAUCUUCACUUGGGACUGGGCAGGUUCUGAGACAGGUGGAAAUAUGGGCUUGGUCAAGGACAUAAAUCCUUAUGACAGUGAUUGCAAUAAUCUGCCAUCUGCAGGAAUUCUUUCCCCUGGAGUGUUUCAUAUUCGCAAUCAGAGACUACCUUUGUGAAAAAUGUGCUCCUGAGAGACUUCCUGGCUCCACAGCAUUUCUGUCUCCUGAAACAUGCUAGGCUAUGCACCCUGUGUGAUGGGAGCACCUCAGGGACUCUGCCAACCCUGCCUGUCCUGUGAUGGAAGGAAGGGAGAAAAAGGAAUGAGAGAGGAUAUGGAGAACAAAACAGAACUGGAUGGGCUUAACCAGCUGAGUUUUUAGUAUAAGGCAGGGGCAUAAUAUAGCCUGGCCUUUUGUGAAUCUGAAUGCUUUUAGACAAAUGAGUAUAAUCUUUCCCUAGUAAAUAUUUGUAUCAUCAGGAUUUUUUGAAUCUACACUCAUUUUAAAUAAUGACUUUUCUCAGAGAAGACUGUGUAAUGAAGGGAGACCAAGAAGAACACUGCUCCAUUGAUUCCUAUCAAGCCAUGAGAAUACUGAACUUCAGUUGUCACUGGGGAAGUUCACCUGACAUUCUCUCAGCUCUGGGUUUAUCUGCAUUGACAGGACAAUAAAAGUUCUUGUCUAUCACUCUAAUGCCAUCACCCUUGGCUUCUGCACUUGGUUGUGGAAGAAUUUAAUGGAGUGGGAGCCUCGUCAUUCAUUUCCAUGGAAUUGGGAUCAAGUUCGUUUGCAGAAUAACAGAUAUGUUUGCUGUCAUGAAAUAAGCCAGAUCUCAGGGAAGCAGCAUCCAGGGAACUUGAGAGAACAAGGAAUAAAUUCAGAGUCUCUGAUCUUGCUUGGGAGGAACCUAAGCAAGUCCUGGUUUAUUAGUGGUGACUGCCCUAAAUAACACAUCUUGAGUG